GCCGGGCUAGCUCAAUCGGUAGAGCGUGAGACUCUUAUAUCUUGCGAUCUCAAGGCUGCGGGUUCGACCCCCGCGUUCGGCU
rfam:Aspergillus zonatus CBS 506.65 unplaced genomic scaffold ASPZOscaffold_1, whole genome shotgun sequence.